CCAUGGCCCGCAGCUCUCCUUCCCGUUCCUGUCAACGGAGGAAAUGAGAGGCAGUAGGGGUGCUUUAAAAAAACAACAGACAGACAGACAGACAGACACACAGACAGACAGACAGACACACA